AUUCAUGAUUUGAAUGAAAUACUAGAUGGAUAUCUUUUUGCUUUUAUCUAAUUGAAUUCUUGCAGGAUUAAUUAUGAAAGUUUGUGUUACAACCCAAAUUUUGCCAGUCAUAAAUCAAAUGUUUAAUUGUCAAAGUCAAAGUCAAAAAAGACUGAAAUGAAAUAAAUUAUUUAAUUGGGACUUAAUUUAAUAGGAAAAAUAUUUUGAAGGAUUAAAUUGGACAAAAUAAAAUUUCGGGGUCUACUUAUAUAUUUUUAGAAGUUUAGAUUUAAUGUGGUUUUAUUUGAAGUUGGAGGGCUUUCUUUGCAAAGUUGGUAUAAUGGAUUACAUGUGGCAAGUAUUUAACUAAUAUCUCAUUUUUCAAAUGAUUACACGCACUCACACACAGUAGAAAAAUCGGGCAGUGAGGUUGGGAAAGAAGAGAAGAGAAAAACCAAGGAAAAGGAAGAGAAAAAGAAAAAGCAGAAGGAAAAGGAAAAAGAAGGAAGAAAUUUGGUGUCAACUACUCGAAGCUUUAUAUCUUUAAUUCUUCAAAAGAUUGAAGGUAAGAGCAUGAUUUCAAGCUAAUCUUUUUGUUUUGUGAAAGAUUUUUGCAUCAAGGUAAGUUAUACUAUUUUUGGCAAACCUAGAGUUUUUAAUUGAGUUUUUGAAUAAGAAUAAUUAGGGGAAAUGAUUUUGAUGAUGAAAUAUUAACUUUAUGGAAUGAAUUUAUGGAAUAAGAUGUAAAUUAGAUUAGUGUAUGUGAGAAUUCAAGUUUCACUAGAUUAGAAGAAAGAAUUGUUUUUAUGUUUGGGAUGAAGGUAAUUAUGAUAAAUUAAAGAUCAGUGAAUGGUCUAGAAGGUAGAAUUCGUUCCAAUUGUGAAGGAGAUUAAAGAUUAUAUUCAAGUUCCGAGAAAUCAAGUUCUAAUAUUUCAUAGUUAAAUGUUAAGAAUAUUUGGUAUGCUAGUUGUUAAAUGGGUUAUUUGGUAUCAUAUUCCAGGUGGUGACAAGAAAAUUGGAAAAGCUUAUCGACCUUCAUAGGUUGUAGCUUAACUAAUUAUCAGAGGUCUUUGGGAUCCACUCUCGUACACCUAUGGGCCGUGUACUAGGGUGAUUAGCCUUUGGGGUAGCUCUGCGUACGUAUGACCAGAUUAUCAGACUAUCAGAUUUGAAUGACUUUGUCUUGUACAUUGAGAUUACUCUAUACAUGAGUAAGGCUAUUCAUUGAGUACCUUUUUGGUAUGGUUUCUCAGUAUUUCUACAAUUUCUCAGAUUUCAUAUUAUAGAAUUCAGUUAAUUCAGUUUUCAAAAUAAAACUUUCAGCUUAUAGUAUUGAGCAACAGCAAUAUUUUAUAGAUUUUCAUGGAUAUCAGAUUAUUUAUAAUCACUAUAUUUUACUGUUGCUUACCUAGAAUUAAGAAUAACGAAUUUUAUGCUGCAAUCAUGUUUAGUUUUAAAAGUGUUACCAGAUUUCUGAAUUCCUAGAAGCUUUAGUAGUGCAAGAUUUUUCAGAAAAUAUGCAUAAAUAGAAAAAGUAUACUUAUUUGCAAAUUAUCCACUCACUGAGCUAUAAGCUCAUACAUCUUUUCACCAUUUUUUUUAUCAGAUAGCAGCUCAGUUGAGCAGCUUUGGGCCUGUCGAUCCACCGAAUUGAGCCACAUGUCAUUAGUUGUAUGAUCUACUUUAUUAGAUUAUAUAGUACAUGUUUCUUUUGGGUUAUAUAUAGUUUAUGUCAGAAAAAGUUAUCAUGGGUUCACUGCAUAUUUGGUAUCUUUGGUUAUAUUUGAGGAUUGUUGGUUGUAAAGCAAGAAAAUAUUGAUUUGCCGGCAAUUUAUUUGUAUAAUUUGUAUUUUGAGUAA